AUGUCGCACAACUACGGGGACACGAUCCCGCUGCACCCGUCGUCGGCGCAGUCCGACAUGGACGAGAUCGAGAGCCUCAUGUACGACGCGCCCUCCGCCACCGUCCUCCCCGCGCGGCCGCCCUCCCCGCCGCGCGCCUCCAUCCCCAUCUCCACCUCGCCUCCGCCGCCGUCCUCCAAGCCGCCCCUCCCCGCCUCCUCCGUCCCCAUCUUCGUGCCCCAGGGGCCCACCCCCGCCCCGCCCGCGUCCGUCUCCGUCGCCAUCGCCUCCGACGGCUUCGGGCCCCCGCCCAACACGCUCACCGAGCCCGUCUGGGACACCGUCAAGCGCGACCUCGCCCGCAUCGUCAGCAACCUCAAGCUCGUCGUCUUCCCCAACCCCAACCGCGAGGACCCCGGCAAGGCGCUCAGGGACUGGGACCUCUGGGGCCCCUUCUUCUUCAUCGUCUUCCUCGGCCUCACACUCUCCUGGUCCGCCUCUGUUAAGAAGUCUGAAGUAUUUGCUGUUGCGUUCGCUGUGCUGGCAGCUGGGGCUAUAAUCUUAACACUAAAUGUUCUGCUUCUGGGUGGGCACAUCAUCUUCUUCCAAAGCCUCAGUCUCCUUGGCUAUUGUUUGUUUCCUCUGGAUGUUGGAGCCCUAAUUUGCUUGCUGAAGGACAAUGUCAUACUAAAGAUCAUCGUCGUGACAGUCACACUGGCGUGGAGCUCCUGGGCUGCCUACCCAUUCAUGAGCGCUGCUGUGAACCCAAGGAGAAAGGCUCUGGCCAUCUAUCCUGUAUUCCUCAUGUACAUCUCGGUGGGGUUCCUCAUAAUUGCCAUAGAUUAG
rnacentral:rRNA from 1 species